UCGGCGCCCAGGACUUCCCUCUGCACCCCAGGAGCCCCACUCCUGCCUCCCUAGUGCGAGUGCGCCCGAGCGGUGACUUUCGGGGACUUCCUUCCCCCCGCCUCGCGGUGACCUUCUGUGGCUCCCCCCGCCCCCCUGUCCUGCCGCUCAGACGUGGCUGCUGGGGGGAGGGGGGGAGAGGGGCGGUAUAAAGGGCCGGAGGCAGCGCGGGCCGAGAUCGAGACGUGGCGCGCCCACUCUGCCGGCGUCGGCUCCAGCCACAUCGCUACACUGUCACCUUGGAUGAAAGGAGCAGGAAGGGGGCAGACGAGAACAUCACCUAGAAGAGAUGACGAUGCUGCUGUGGGUUGGGAGUGACCUUAAAGGGAGACCUUGACUUCUGUGAUCUUUACAAUGCGAUAAGAUUGUGUUUGGAAGACCCGUGAUGAUGGCUACAGGUAAUGCUGUGAUGCUCCCCGAAGUUUUGACAGGUGAAGAAUCACUAAGUGGGGAGAGUUCAGGGAGCCAUCAGCCCCUACUCAAGUCCCUUGAGCUUCUUUAGGAUUCUUUUUACCCC